GAACUGUGAGUAGAGGAGGAAACCAACACUAAAACAGGAUGGGGAAUAAGAACAGUCAUUCAGAUCACCACUCAAGGGCGCCGAGAAACGCGGACGAGGCGGGGGAGGAUGGCGAAAGGAGUAUGUCCUUGAAAGACCGCUUGAGGGCUGCAAGUGACUCAGCAGCGGCGUCAGGACAGAGUAAUGCAUCAAAGAAGAAAGCCAAAGGAAAAAAGGGCAAAGAAAAGAGAAAAGCAAUCAACUACAAGUUCUAGCAAAUUUUUUGGUUUUUCAAGACUUACCAUAUUUUUUAGUAAUGUUGACCAAAAAUUUGGACCUUCACAGUACAAAGUCUAUAGGUUUACCGUUUAAAAUCCAAAGGUUUGAAAGCUAUGAAUUUUAGUUCACGACAGGAUUAUAUUAGUUUUUUUUAUAUUCGGAUUCACAGAAUAAUGCUUGCCAAAGUACACACAAGAUACCAGCUGUUGUAGUUGGUGUUUUGUUUUAACAAAAAAAUUAAAAUGUUGGAAUUCUUGAUGCUAUAGUGAUGAACAGGUUCCAUGUGAACAUACAUUGUUCCUGAAUUGUGUAUUCUUAAAUUUAAGGUGCGUGGUUAUGUCAUGACGUUGGAUGUGCUGUGAUAAUGUGUUUUAACGGUAACUUUGGUAUGAUAUUGAGUGAGAGUUAUGUAUCUGUUGUCGUGAGAAGCAGUAAGAGGGGCUUAUUAUUAGAAUUUAAGUGGAAUUUUACUUUUAAGUGGAAUUUUAUUUGUAAUGUCAUGUUUAUCUUAACCCGUGUGGUUGUGUCUUUAGUUUAAUACGUAACAAAGGAAAUCUAUUGGGCCAAAAGGAACAAAUGAUACAAAUGUAUGGCUUCAAGAUUAUUUUAGACAAACUUGUACAGAUGAAGGGAAAUAAUAAAGAUA